rnacentral:rRNA from 1 species
AGAAUCAACGCUGGCGGCGCGCCUAACACAUGCAAGUCGAACGAGAAAGUGGAGCAAUCCAUGAGUACAGUGGCGUACGGGUGAGCAACACGUGGGUAAUCUACCUUUUAGUGAGGAAUAACCCUGGGAAACCGGGGCUAAUACCGCAUAAGCCUGAGAAGGGAAAGCAGAAAUGCGCUGAAAGAGGAGCCCGCAGCCGAUUAGCUAGUUGGUGGGGUAAGAGCCCACCAAGGCAGAGAUCGGUAGCCGGCCUGAGAGGGCACACGGCCACACUGGCACUGAAACACGGGCCAGACUCCUACGGGAGGCAGCAGUGGGGAAUCUUGCACAAUGGGGGAAACCCUGAUGCAGCGACGCCGCGUGAGCGAUGAAGCCCUUCGGGGUGUAAAGCUCUUUCGUCAGGGAAGAUAGUGACGGUACCUGGAGAAGCAGCUGCGGCUAACUACGUGCCAGCAGCCGCGGUAAUACGUAGGCAGCAAGCGUUGUUCGGAGUUACUGGGCGUAAAGGGUGUGUAGGCGGUUCUUUAAGUUUGGUGUGAAAUCUCCCGGCUUAACCGGGAGGGUGCGCCGAAUACUGAGGGACUAGAGUACGGGAGAGGAAAGUGGAAUUCCUGGUGUAGCGGUGAAAUGCGUAGAUAUCAGGAGGAACACCGGUGGUGUAGACGGCUUUCUGGACCGUAACUGACGCUGAGACACGAAAGCGUGGGUAGCAAACAGGAUUAGAUACCCUGGUAGUCCACGCCCUAAACGAUGCAUAUUUGGUGUGGGCAGUUCAUUCUGUCUGUGCCGGAGCUAACGCGUUAAAUAUGCCGCCUGGGGAGUACAGUCGCAAGGCUGAA